rnacentral:rRNA from 1 species
AAAUGGACUGCUCAGUAAUACUCACUUUAUUUUAAGUAAAUUUUUAAUUAACUACGUUAAAGUGUAGAUAAGAUGUUUACAGUAAGAGUGAGACCUAUUAGCUAGUUGUUAAGGUAAUGGCUUAACAAGGCUGUGACGGGUAACGGUAUUACUUUGUAAUAUUCCGGAGAAGGAGCCUGAGAGACGGCUACUAAGUCUAAGGAUUGCAGCAGGGGCGAAACUUGACCUAUGGAUUUUAUUUGAGGCAGUUAUGGGAAGUAAUAUUAUAUUGUUUCAUAUUUUAAAAGUAUAUGAGGUGAUUAAUUGGAGGGCAAAUCAAGUGCCAGCAGCCGCGGUAAUACUUGUUCCAAGAGUGUGUAUGAUGAUUGAUGCAGUUAAAAAGUCCGUAGUUUAUUAGAGCUC